GAUGAACGCUGGCGGCGUGCCUAAUACAUGCAAGUCGAGCGAACAGACGAGGAGCUUGCUCCUCUGACGUUAGCGGCGGACGGGUGAGUAACACGUGGAUAACCUACCUAUAAGACUGGGAUAACUUCGGGAAACCGGAGCUAAUACCGGAUAACAUGUUGAACCGCAUGGUUCAACAGUGAAAGACGGUCUUGCUGUCACUUAUAGAUGGAUCCGCGCCGCAUUAGCUAGUUGGUAAGGUAACGGCUUACCAAGGCAACGAUGCGUAGCCGACCUGAGAGGGUGAUUGGCCACACUGGAACUGAGACACGGUCCAGACUCCUACGGGAGGCAGCAGUAGGGAAUCUUCCGCAAUGGGCGAAAGCCUGACGGAGCAACGCCGCGUGAGUGAAGAAGGUCUUCGGAUCGUAAAACUCUGUUAUUAGGGAAGAACAAAUGUGUAAGUAACUAUGCACGUCUUGACGGUACCUAAUCAGAAAGCCACGGCUAACUACGUG
rnacentral:rRNA from 1 species